rnacentral:rRNA from 1 species
UGCGGGGGGGGUAAGCGUUGUUCGGAAUUACUGGGCGUAAAGGGCUCGUAGGCGGCCAACUAAGUCAGACGUGAAAUCCCUCAGCUUAACUGGGGAACUGCGUCUGAUACUGGAUGGCUUGGAUUCGGGAGAGGAAUGCGGAAUUCCAGGUGUAGCGGUGAAAUGCGUAGAUAUCUGGAGGAACACCGGUGGCGAAGGCGGCAUUCUGGACCGAUAUUGACGCUGAGGAGCGAAAGCCGGGGGAGCAAACGGG